GAUAAUCUUAUAAUACCCCAAAAUAUAGGUCUAAGAUUCCUAUAGGAUUGGUAUGUGUUUCUAUAGGAUUACUACAUACAACCUGAUGUCCGUGAUCGUUUCAAAUUUCAACUGACAAUAUGGGCCACGCUGCAGAAAAAAAUCAAGAAGUCGGUGAAAUUAAAGCCCUAUGUAAGUUGAGAAGAUAGCCAGGGACCCUGUUGCUGGAGCUGUCUUGUUACUGUACGCGACCCCCAUGUCUGAAAAUAAGUGGAACUAGUCGGUUUGAAGCAAAGAAGAUGGCCAGGACUCCUUGCUGAUAGAUGGGAGCCAGAUAGAGUUGGUAGAGCCGAGAAGAUGACCAGGAUUGCUGCUGGAAGGAAGCUGUCUAGUUACAUUGAUUCCCCUUGUAGGACCGUGUCGGAAAAUGCUGAGAAAGACCUACGGUUUUUAAAAAGAAGAUGGCCAGGAUUCCUUGCUGCUGGAUGGAAGCGGUCUAGUUGCAGUACAUUAAGCCCCCUUGUAGGAUCAUGUUGGAAAAUGCUGAGAAAGACCAACAGCAGCUGAGAAGAUGGCCAGGGACUCUUUGCUGCUGGAUUGAAGCUGUCUAAAGCUGCUAGUGUCACUCUGGUUGCCACCUUCUCCCAUAAGGACACGUUGACUGAGGGAGAUAUUGAGCCCUGCCCUGACUUUGCACACAACCAAGGAGAGUGCCAGUAUCGCGCGCACGCGCACACACACACACACACACACACACACACACACACACACACACACACACACACACACACACACACACACACACACACACACACACACACACACACACCUUUUAUGGAUGACAGUGUUUUUAUAUUCAUUAACAUUUCAGUUAGAGGCUGCCUGAGUUUGUAAGAAUGUCAGUGUUGUAUUUUCAGGUUAUUGUCAUUUUAAGUUAGCUUCAGCCUUGUCAGACCAUCAGAUUCGCCCUGCUCCCAAACCAAAAUUUAGAAGAUUCAGGCAGGAUCACUUAAUUUUAAGUUAGAAGUCAUGUGUGUUUCCUAUAUGUGUUUUUUUGCCCUUAAUACCUACUGGGAUAUUGAUGUGUAUUUUAAUUGCAUAUCAAAUAAACUGACUUUCGAUUUGAAAUAAGCUGUAUCUCUGUGGUAUGUGUCUGCAUGAGGUCGUUAUUAAUUGAUAUUGCAUAAUGAGAUUGAAUAAGCAUAAGUGAC